rnacentral:rRNA from 1 species
UACGAAGGGGGCUAGCGUUGCUCGGAAUGACUGGGCGUAAAGGGCGCGUAGGCGGUUUGGACAGUCAGAUGUGAAAUUCCUGGGCUCAACCUGGGGGCUGCAUUUGAUACGUUCGGACUAGAGUGGGGAAGAGGGUCGUGGAAUUCCCAGUGUAGAGGUGAAAUUCGUAGAUAUUGGGAAGAACACCGGUGGCGAAGGCGGCGACCUGGUCCGAUACUGACGCUGAGGCGCGAAAGCGUGGGGAGCAAACAGG